ACUCAAAGGAAUAGACGGGGGCCCGCACAAGCGGUGGAGCAUGUGGUUUAAUUCGAUGCAACGCGAAGAACCUUACCUGGGUUUGACAUCCCCAGACAGUCCUAGAGAUAGGAUUUCCCCUUCGGGGGCUGGGAGACAGGUGCUGCAUGGCUGUCGUCAGCUCGUAUCGUGAGAUGUCGGGUUAAGUCCCUUAACGAGCGCAACCCUUGUCCCUUGUUGCCAUCAUUCAGUUGGGCACUCCAGGGAGACCGCCGGUGUUAAACCGGAGGAAGGUGGGGAUGACGUCAAGUCCUCAUGGCCUUUAUAUCCAGGGCUACACACGUGCUACAAUGGCCGAUACAAAGGGUUGCUAACCCGCGAGGGGGAGCUAAUCUCAGAAAGUCGGUCUCAGUUCGGAUUGAAGUCUGCAACUCGACUUCAUGAAGCUGGAAUCGCUAGUAAUCGCGGAUCAGAACGCCGCGGUGAAUACGUUCCCGGGCCUUGUACACACCGCCCGU
rnacentral:rRNA from 1 species